rnacentral:rRNA from 1 species
UAGGGAAUCUUCGGCAAUGGGGGCGAACCCUGACCGAGCAACGCCGCGUGAGUGAGAAGGUUUUCGGAUCGUAAAGCUCUGUUGUAAGAGAAGAACGUGUGUGAGAGUGGAAAGUUCACACAGUGACGGUAACUUACCAGAAAGGGACGGCUAACUACGUGCCAG